rnacentral:rRNA from 1 species
UACAGAGGGUGCCAGCGUUAUUCGGAAUUAUUGGGCGUAAAGGGCGCGUAGGCGGCCAUGCGUGUCUUCCGUGAAAUCCCUCGGCUCAACCGAGGACGUGCGGAAGAAACUGCAAGGCUCGAGUCCGGAAGAGGGGGGCGGAAUUCCUGGUGUAGCGGUGGAAUGCGCAGAUAUCAGGAGGAACACCAAUAGCGAAGGCAGCUCGCUGGGACGGUACUGACGCUAAGGCGCGAAAGCGUGGGGAGCGAACAGG